rfam:Rhizobacter sp. Root29 contig_9, whole genome shotgun sequence.
UCGGGUCCGUUGCGUUCGCGUGAGUUUUAUAUUUCCUUGAACCGAUGCUCUUAUGAGCAAGGGCUUGGAACAUCGCCCGGUUGGUGUGAUCGUCUCGCGUCAGAUGAACCCGAAGCCCGGCUGACCUCGCCCACCUGAACUGCCUGGGUUCAGGAAUGCGGCUCACGGUGCGUGACGGACACCUU